UGCUUUAUGAGCCUGCCUUUCUGUGGCUAGCGCUUGGCAACAGCAUUCACCCUGUUUUUGGUCACACAUGGUAAAGAGACUCAGGAAAAAGAACUUCCAGAACCGCUUCAGAAAGUGUCAAGAAUGAUGGGCUAAGCGUGUUUGAGACAAGGGGAAUAUUUGAGGGAUAUUAAUGCAUAAAAACUAUCCUUUGCAAAGAAUAAUUUUGACAUCUUUAUCAAAGAUGGCCCGGCUGGAGUUUGAGAUCUCUGAACGAAGACUUAGUUCUGGUGCUUGCGCAGGAAGAAGUCCCAAGGGCUCAUCUUAUCUGGCUCCGUACAGACAGGGUACUUAAUAAUUGGGAGAGGAGACAUUCAGUGCUUGGUGAUCGCUCAGAUUGUCAAUCAAGUGCUAUUUGGACUCAACAGAUGUACGUAUUGAAAUCAAAUACUCUGCACAUUUAAUGGCAUCAGUAGAAAGUUAUGUUGCAUGACAUCAAAUAGAGGUGUUUCUUGCACAAUGUCCAGUGAGGUCAAUAAGAUGAAAAGCGGCUAAGAGCUCCCGAGAUUAGUCUUUUUGUUCUGUGAGGUUUUUGGUGUGGCAGUCAUUAUUUUAACAUCAGGAUCAAACCUGGUAAUUGACCUCAAUAUGUUCUCAAAGUAUGUUUCAUACUGAAACCCAGUAGCUCACCCUUCAGUAUAAUUUUCCUGCCUAUUAACAAUCUUAAAGAAACAUGUUUCCUACACGCAGUUCUUGAUAAUAUUUAUAAACCGACAUUUAUUGAAGACUCUGUGAGGGUCAGGCCCUGUGCUGUGCUCUUUAGAUGAAUUAUCUCUCAAUAACAGCCCUACAAUAAUGGACACAAGACCAUCACUGUCUGCAUUUUACAGAGAACGUAGAAAAACAAGGUGCAGAGAGUUACGUAACUUGUUGAAACUCUACGUAGCUAAUAGGUGAGAACCUGGAAAAAAAAAUUAAGACAAGAUAAGAUUUGAACCCAGGCAGUCUGAUUAGCAAACACAUAUGCCCUUAAAAAGUAACUGCGUUAUCAGGGAGCUCCUGAUGUUCUGGUGUAUGGUCACAAGCAGAGACCACAUAGCAAAAACAGAAGCCAAGCUAUCUGAAUGAUAGCUCUAUUUUUUCAUCAGUAUUUGUUGUGGGGGAGGUCCCAAUUUUCUACAGGACAGAAGGCUUGAAGUGUCCAUGGAACAUUUCUUUCUUUUAUUAAUGCCCAUAUUUUAUAAAAAGCAAUAAUUUCCAUGGCCUCUAAAAACAAUUAUUGUCAUCCAUAAAGCACACCAAUGAUGAAAUAGACAUUAUCAACUGUUUUGCUUAAUAGAGAAGUAACAGGAAGCAACUUACUUAGGAAGAGUAGAG
rnacentral:lncRNA from 1 species